rnacentral:rRNA from 1 species
GGUUUGAUUCUGGCUCAGAUUGAACGCUGGCGGGAUGCUUUGCACAUUACAUGCAAGUCGAACGGCAGUAAUUUGGACUUCGACCAGGCGAGGGCGAACGGGUGAGCAAUGUAUCGGAACGUGCCUAGUAGCGGAUAACUACGAAAGGUAGCUAAUAAUGCAUACGCCCUUCGGGGGAAAGCAAAUUUCGGGCCUCGCACUAUUAGAGCGGGCCGAUAUCGGAUUAGCUUAGUUGGUGGGGUAACGGCUCACCAAGGCGAUUGCUGAUCCGUAGCUGGUUUGAGAGGACGACCAGCCACACUGGGACUGAGACACGGCCCAGACUCCUACGGGAGGCAGCAGUGGGGAAUUUUUGGACAAUGGGGGAAACUCGAUCCAGCCAUCCCGCGUGUGCGAUGAAGGCCUUCGGGUUGUAAAGCACUUCGGCAGGAAAGAAACGGCACGGGAUAAUACCCCGUGCAACUGACGGUACCUGCAGAAUAAGCACCGGCUAACUACGCCAGCAGCCGCGGUAAUAAGCAGGCGGCAAGCGUUAAUCUUGAAAUUACUGGCGUAAAAGUGUGCGCAGGCGGUUCGGAAAGAAAGAUGUGAAAUCCCAGAGCUUAACUGGAACUGCAUUUUUAACUACCGAGCUAGAGUGCAACAGAGGGAGGUGGAAUUCCCGCGUAGCAGUGAAAUGCAGAUAUGCGGAGGAACACCGAUGGCGAAGCGGCAGCCUCCUGGGAUAACACUGACGUCAUGCACGAAAGCGGGGAGCAAACAGGAUUAGAUACCUGGUAGUCCACGCCCUAAACGAUGUUAAUCAGCUGGUUGGGGCCUUCGGCCUGGUAGCGCAGCUGAUCAAGGCAGGGUUGACCGCCUGGGGAGUACGGUCGCAAGAUUAAAACCUCGGGGCUAGAAUUGACGGGACCCGCACGCGGUGGAUGACGUGGAUUAAUUCAUGCAACGCGAAAACCUUACCUACCUUGACAUGUGUCUGGAAUCCCGAAGAGAUUUGGGAGUGCUCGCAAGAGAACCGGAACACAGGUGCUGCAUGGCUGUCGUCAGCUCGUGUCGUGAGAUGUUGGGUUAAGUCCCGCAACGAGCGCAACCUUGUCAUUAGUUGCUACGAAAGGGCACUCUAAUGAGACUGCCGGUGACAAACCGAGGAAGGUGGGGAUGACGUCAAGUCCUCAUGGCCUCUUAUGGGUAGGGCUUCACACGUCAUACAAUGGUCGGGACAGAGGUCGCCAACACGCGAGGGGGAGCUAAUCCCAGAAACCCGAUCGUAGUCCGGAUCGCAGUCUGCAACCUCGACUGCGUGAAGUCGGAAUCGCUAGUAACGCGGAUCAGCAUGUCGCGGUGAAUACGUUCCCGGGUCUUGUACACACCGCCCGUCACACCAUGGGAGUGGGUUUUACCAGAAGUAGUAGCCCAACUGUAAGGAGGGCGAUUAAUGGCGGUAGAUUCAUGACUGGGGUGAAGUUGUACAGGU